ensembl:lncRNA
CAGCAACACUGAGUCGUGCAGCGUCAUGGUACGGCAAGGAACACAGUACUCGUUCCCGUAUCUCAGGGAACCGAGGUUAUGUAAGUAACCAAGUACGUUCCCUUUCCAUACUUCACUCGUACUGCUUGGCUAGACCAUAGACUGUCUGGCCAUCGGAGCAUGGGAAUCUGCUAUAGCUGCCACAUAGACCUUGAACAUGGAAGGGGACCAGCCCUUGUCUAACAGCUCUUGUAGGCUCGCCAGAUGGUGGCAGGGGAUAAGCUGAUUUCUGCACCGAAUGCUGAAGGUGGCUUGUAGAGUGGGCAAGAAUAGCAGAGAGACGCAGAGGAAAAGGCAGCUUCUGUCCGCAGCGAGGCGUGUCCAUGGCGAACGCUUCAAGUCCCGUAUAUCAGCGAAGGAAAGAUUGUCGUCGCUGAAGGAGAAUUGAUCUGAGUUCCUAUGGCGAAAUGCCUGCUUAUAUAGCCAGAUGGCCCUGUCCAUUCUGCCAGGCUCUGGUGGGCUUCAUCGCCAUAGGCUCGUGCAGCUCUGUGUGAUUGUAAAGGCUUCAGUCCUUGGAGUUUUUCCCCAUAGCGUCUAGCGACUUAGUAUGAGUGAAGUAUCGAAAGGGAACUGAAUUUUUCCUGCUGCACUGUGACCACUGGUGAUCCAAAAAAUUAUUUCUCUACGAAAUCCAGAAAAAAUUAAGAUAUAUUUUGGGAGAAAACUCCAGCAGUAAAAUUUAGCACCCUGCCAUAAACACAAAGAGUCAGAGCCAGUGGACAAAACUAGCUCAGAAAUAUCGUUACAUCGUAACAUAUCUGAAUAUGUACAUUUCUUUCUUUCUUUAUUUCUUUACACUGUGUUAUUUCUUGUUUAUAUAUAUAUAUAUAUAUAUAUAUAUAUAUAUAUAUAUAUAUAUAUAUAUAUAUAUAUAUAUAUAUAUAUAUAUAUAUAUUUAAAAGCAUUUAUGGAUUUAACUACAUUUAUUCAUUUGUUUUCGUUUAUGUAAUUAUUGUACAAUCAUUACAGUACUGUUCAAGGCAACCCAGAGCUAAUUUAAAUUGAAAAUUUAAUUGAGAGGGAGGGAGGGAUUGAGAGCAGCUUUUGCAAUUUGUGAACAUAGAUAAAAAAUGAUUAUAAGGGAGUGGAAAGACUGAUCAGAGAUGCAUCAGAAUUGGGGAGUCAGAUAUUCUGCUGCUCUUUACUGGACGGUCUAUGGUCUAGAUUGUUGCAAUUCCAUUUCCGGUUUUGAAUCAAAUUUAAAGGUGGGUUGAUUUUUGUCUUUAAAAAAUAUAAUAAAACAGCAAUUUGUGGAAUUCAGCUUAAAGAUGUAAUUAUUUGGGUGUAAAACAUUUUCAAAUUCAAACAUGGUUCUUUCAGAGCUUUAUCUCAAUCCUAUUAAAGAUGUGAUUAGAAAGAAGUUUAAUUCUUGGCUAGCAAAAGAUUUUGGAACGUGGAACACGUUUCCUAAUUUUAUUUUUAAGAGAAUUUGAGGCAUUGAAUUUUUGUUACAGUGCCUCUUCAAACUUGGUUAUUUACCCAUUAAAUUAGCAAAAUUUCACCAACAGGCUUUAUUGUCGUGGUUACUAGUUUACAAACAAUUUUUCACCUCACCGUUGUUUUAUUUGGAAUAAUCAGAAUAUUGCUUCCAGAAAUAAAUCAUUAUUUUUUGAGAGGUGGUAUUUAAAUAACAUAUACUUUAUUAAUCAGUUGACAGAUGACAAUGGUCAGCUAUACCCAUAGGAAAGAAAAAUCAAAAGUGAGAUCUCUUUAAUAUCUCAAAUAUUUCUCCUAGACAUAAAUGAGGUUACUUUAAGAUCGAAUGGAGAUUUUUGCUUGAGUCUCCUGCUUCUCAAACUUGUCUCUUGAGACAAAAACUCUAACACUCUCACAUUGGUCUCCUUUAAAGCAUUAAAAGAGAUCUCAACAACAUCACACACUGUGCUCAGAUAUUUCUCCUUAGCUAGAGACUCUGGAUCUCUCACAUUUGUCUCUUUUAAAGCUUUAAAAGAGAUCUCAACAACAUCACACAC